GCUUCGUACCGACUCGAUCUCGAGCUUCCAUAUCGACACUGUUUUGGUUGCUACGAAUGUCGGUAUGCGCCUGUUGGGUAGAAUCGAUUCAGCAGAAACCUCCUACGCUCCCAGGGCCACCUGGGCCCACUUACCCGCCGAAAACUGGUCACAAAAAUUUACCCAGGGGUAAUCACUCUUAUCAAAACAGUUU